rnacentral:rRNA from 1 species
UAAUCUGCGAUAAGCGCCGGUAAGGUGAUAUGAACCGUUAUAACCGGCGAUACCCGAAUGGGGAAACCCAGUGUGAUUCGUCACACUAUCAUUAACUGAAUCCAUAGGUUAAUGAGGCGAACCGGGGGAACUGAAACAUCUAAGUACCCCGAGGAAAAGAAAUCAACCGAGAUUCCCCCAGUAGCGGCGAGCGAACGGGGAGGAGCCCAGAGCCUGAAUCAGCAUGUGUGUUAGUGGAAGCGUCUGGAAAGGCGCGCGAUACAGGGUGACAGCCCCGUACACAAAAGCGCAUGUGCUGUGAGCUCGAUGAGUAGGGCGGGACACGUGGUAUCCUGUCUGAAUAUGGGGGGACCAUCCUCCAAGGCUAAAUACUCCUGACUGACCGAUAGUGAACCAGUACCGUGAGGGAAAGGCGAAAAGAACCCCGGCGAGGGGAGUGAAAAAGAACCUGAAACCGUGUACGUACAAGCAGUGGGAGCACCCUUCGGGGUGUGACUGCG